GUGUCAGCAGCCGCGGUAAUACGGGGGGGGCAAGCGUUGUUCGGAAUUACUGGGCGUAAAGGGUUCGUAGGUGGCUCGCUAAGCCAGACGUGAAAUCCCUCAGCUUAACUGGGGAACUGCGUCUGGGACUGGAGAGCUUGAGUGCAGGAGAGGAACGCGGAAUUCCAGGUGUAGCGGUGAAAUGCGUAGAUAUCUGGAGGAACACCGGUGGCGAAGGCGGCGUUCUGGACUGCAACUGACACUGAGGAACGAAAGCCAGGGGAGCAAACGGGAUUAGAUACCCCAGUAGUCC
rnacentral:rRNA from 1 species